rnacentral:rRNA from 1 species
GACGGGGGGGGCGAGUGUUAUUCGUCAUGACUGGGCGUAAAGGGCGUGUAGGCGGUUCUUUAAGUUUAAAGGGAAAUCCCAUUAAGAAGAUGGUCUACUCUUUAAAUACUGCUGAACUAGAGUUAAAUGGAAGAAAAUGGAAUUUCUAGAGUAAGGAUGAAAUCUAGCGACACUAGGAAGAACACCAUUAGGCCGAGGCGAUUUUCUAUAUUUAACUGACGCUGAGGCGCGAAGGCAUGGGAAUCAAAGAGG